GACGAACGCUGGCGGCGUGCUUAACACAUGCAAGUCGAGCGGUAAGGCCCUUUCGGGGGUACACGAGCGGCGAACGGGUGAGUAACACGUGGGUGACCUGCCCUCAGCUCUGGGAUAAGCCUGGGAAACCGGGUCUAAUACCGGAUAUGACUCCAUGGCGCAUGUUGUGGGGUGGAAAGCCUUGUGCGGCUGAGGAUGGGCCCCGCGGCCUAUCAGCUUGUUGGUGGGGUGAUGGCCUACCAAGGCGACGACGGGUAGCCGGCCUGAGAGGGCGACCGGCCACACUGGGACUGAGACACGGCCCAGACUCCUACGGGAGGCAGCAGUGGGGAAUAUUGGACAAUGGGGGAAACCCUGAUCCAGCGACGCCGCGUGGGUGAAGAAGGCCUGCGGGUUGUAAAGCCCUUUCAGUGGGGAAGAAAGCCUCGACCUAACACGUCGGGGUCUUGACGUAACCCAUAGAAGAAGCACCGGCUAACUCUGU
rnacentral:rRNA from 1 species